GUCCCACUUCCUGGUUGGCUUCCUGAAAGCCUCUCGACAAGGGGCUCAGGGAAGUGGGUCUAAGGGAGAGGUGCAGACGAGAGCGACUCCAGGUCCAACGGAGGGGGCGGCGGGCCACGGGAUCCCGGAGGGCACAGGCGUUAAGGACGGAGUUAUUGUCCAUAAUUACAAUAAAAGUUUGGGGAUCUGAAAGCUUUAAGGAGCUGAGCUGCAGGGCAAAGGCUAAGAACCGGACUCGGGAAAAGUGCAAGUUAGUUACAAGGUAGCAGGGACUGUGAAGGGGGCUCGCGUGGAGAGCAGGGGACUGCGGAUCUGGAAGGGGGCAGGUAGAGAGGAAGGCAGCCUGGCAGAGCGAGGCACACGGGUCAGUCGGAGCUCUGCGGUGGCCGCCAGAGGGGAGGGGGCCACGGGGAGGAGCGGAGGGAAGAGCCCGGGGAAAGGUGUAGCCGAGGGGAGUUCCGGAUCUGGAGCUGGAAAGGGCAGGCAGCGGAGAG
rnacentral:lncRNA from 1 species